rnacentral:misc_RNA from 1 species
UCUCGGCCGCUUCGCAUUUUAAAAC